rnacentral:rRNA from 1 species
UACGUAGGGUGCGAGCGUUGUCCGGAAUUAUUGGCGUAAAGAGCUCGUAGGCGGUGUGUCGCGUCGGCCGUGAAAACCUGCAGCUUAACUGUGGGCUUGCGGUCGAUACGGGCAUCACUGGAGUUCGGCAGGGGAGACUGGAAUUCCUGGUGUAGCGGUGAAAUGCGCAGAUAUCAGGAGGAACACCGGUGGCGAAGGCGGGUCUCUGGGCCGAUACUGACGCUGAGGAGCGAAAGCGUGGGGAGCGAACAGGAUUAGAACCUACCGUA